CCCUUAGAUGUUCUGGGCUGCACGCGCGCUACACUGAUGCGUUCAACGAGUGUAUCACCUUGCCCGAUAGGGUAGGGUAAUCUUUUGAACACGCAUCGUGAUGGGGAUAGAUUAUUGCAAUUAUUAAUCUUCAACGAGGAAUUCCUAGUAAUGAUGAAUCAUCAGUUCGUCGUGAUUACGUCCCUGCCCUUUGUACACACCGCCCGUCGCUCCUACCGAUUGAGCAAUCCGGUGAAUACUUCGGACCGUUUAUGGAAUUGGUUCGCCAAAUCCACGAAUGGAAAGUCGAGUGAACCUUAUGGCUUAGAGGAAGGAGAAGUCGUAACA
rnacentral:rRNA from 1 species